AGUGAACGCUGGCGGUAGGCCUAACACAUGCAAGUCGAACGGCAGCACAGUAAGAGCUUGCUCUUACGGGUGGCGAGUGGCGGACGGGUGCGGAAUACAUCGGAAUUUACUUUUUCGUGGGGGAUAACGUAGGGAAACUUACGCUAAUACCGCAUACGACCUACGGGUGAAAGCAGGGGAUCUUCGGACCUUGCGCGAUUGAAUGAGCCGAUGUCGGAUUAGCUAGUUGGCGGGGUAAAGGCCCACCAAGGCGACGAUCCGUAGCUGGUCUGAGAGGAUGAUCAGCCACACUGGAACUGAGACACAGUCCAGACUCCUACGGGAGGCAGCAGUGGGGAAUAUUGGACAAUGGGCGCAAGCCUGAUCCAGCCAUACCGCGUGAGUGAAGAAGGCCUUCGGGUUGUAAAGACCUUUUGUUGGGAGAGAAAAGCAGCAGGUUAAUACCCCGCGGUUCUGACGGUACCCAAAGAAUAAGCACCGGCUAACUUCGUG
rnacentral:rRNA from 1 species